AUUGAACGCUGGCGGCAGGCCUAACACAUGCAAGUCGAGCGAGCGGCGGACGGGUGAGUAAUGUAUGGGGACUGCCCGAUAGAGGGGGAUAACUACUGGAAACGGUGGCUAAUACCGCAUACUAUCGGAUAACCCAUAUGGGAUUAGCUAGUAGGGGGGGUAAAGGCUCACCUAGGCGACGAUCUCUAGCUGGUCUGAGAGGAUGAUCAGCCACAAGGGGACUGAGACACGGGCCAGACUCAUACGGAGGCAGCAGUGGGGAAUAUUGAACAAUGGGCGCAAGCCUGAUGCAGCCAUGCCGCGGGUAUGAAGAAGGCCUUCGGGUUGUAAAGUACUUUCAGCGGGGAGGCGUGAACCGCAGAAGAAGCACCGGCUAACUCCGUGCCAGCAGCCGCGGUAAUAC
rnacentral:rRNA from 1 species